CCAGACUCCUACGGGAGGCAGCAGUGGGGAAUAUUGCACAAUGGGGGAAACCCUGAUGCAGCGACGCCGCGUGGAGGAAGAAGGUCUUCGGAUUGUAAACUCCUGUUGUUGGGGAAGAUAAUGACGGUACCCAACAAGGAAGUGACGGCUAACUACGUGC
rnacentral:rRNA from 1 species